AACGAACGCUGGCGGCAUGCCUAACACAUGCAAGUCGAACGAGACCUUCGGGUCUAGUGUCUCACGGGUUCGUAACGCGUGGGAACCUGCCCUUAGGGUCGGAAUAACUCCCCGAAAGGGGUGCUAAUACCGGAUAAUGUCUUCGGACCAAAGAUUUAUCUCCUUUGGAUGGGCCCGAGUUGGAUUAGCUAGUUGGUAGGGUAAAAGGCUACCAAGGCGACGAUCCAUAGCUGGUCUGAGAGGAUGAUCAGCCACACUGGGACUGAGACACGGCCCAGACUCCUACGGGAGGCAGCAGUGGGGAACAUUGGAAAGUGGGCGAAAGCAUGAUCCAGCAAUGCCGCGAGAGUGAUGAAGGCAUUAGAGUUGUAAAGAUCUUUUAACCGGGAUGAUAAUGACAGUACCGGGAGAAUAAGCUCCGGCUAACUCCGUG
rnacentral:rRNA from 1 species